AGUAUGCAGAACACAAAGCGCACAAAGCGGGGGAGAAACCAAGGUGGCGUUGUUGAUAAAGUAGGUGAUACAGUCUCAGUGCCACCUCCUGUCUCUGGUUCACCACAAGUUGCACCGACGGCAGUUGCAACAAUUGAAAAACUCAAAGAAGAAAAUAGACUCCUGAAAGAGGAACGGGAUUUUCUGCGGGAGCAAUUGAGAGGUUCCCUCAAUAAAAGACAACUAGGGACAAACAGAAGAAUGCAAAAUGAUUCAUCUUCUGAGUCAGAAUCUGCAGACAACUCAACAUUCUCAGACACAUCAGAUUCCUCAGACAAGCCUCCAAAGAGAAAACACAAGAGAAAGCACAAAGUCAGAGAAGACAAAGAUACCUACAUUC